rnacentral:rRNA from 1 species
GUCAGCUCGUGUCGUGAGAUGUUGGGUUAAGUCCCGCAACGAGCGCAACCCUCGUCCCUUAGUUUACCAUCAUUAAGUUUGGGCACUUUUAAGGGAAACUGCCGGUGAUAAGCCGGAGGAAGGUGGGGAUGACGUCAAGUCCUCAUGGCCCUUACAGGCUGGGCUACACACGUGCUACAAUGGCAUCUACAGUGGGCAGCUAUUCCGCAAGGAUGCGCUAAUCUCCAAAAGAUGUCUCAGUUCGGAUUGUCCUCUGCAACUCGAGGGCAUGAAGGCGGAAUCGCUAGUAAUCGCGGAUCAGCAUGCCGCGGUGAAUACGUUCCCAGGCCUU